rnacentral:rRNA from 1 species
GAUGAACGCUGGCGGCACGCCUAACACAUGCAAGUCGAACGAAGUGUGAGGAAGCUUGCUUCCAAUCACUUAGUGGCGGACGGGUGAGUAACACGUGAGCAACCUGCCUCUUGGUUUGGGAUACCGUUUGGAAACGAACGUUAAUACCGAAUAAUAUAGCGGAUUCGCAUGUUUCUGCUAUCAAAGAUUUAUUGCCAAGAGAUGGGCUCGCGUCUGAUUAGAUAGUUGGUGAGGUAACGGCCCACCAAGUCGACGAUCAGUAGCCGGACUGAGAGGUUGAACGGCCACAUUGGGACUGAGACACGGCCCAGACUCCUACGGGAGGCAGCAGUGGGGAAUAUUGCACAAUGGGCGCAAGCCUGAUGCAGCGAUGCCGCGUGAGGGAAGAAGGUUUUCGGAUUGUAAACCUCUGUCAUCGGGGACGAUAAUGACGGUACCCGAGAAGGAAGCUCCGGCUAACUACGUG